rnacentral:rRNA from 1 species
UACGUAGGGGGCUAGCGUUGUCCGGAAUCAUUGGGCGUAAAGCGCGUGUAGGCGGUCCGGUAAGUCCGCUGUGAAAGUCGAGGGCUCAACCCUCGAAUGCCGGUGGAUACUGUCGGGCUAGAGUGCGGAAGAGGCGAGUGGAAUUCCUGGUGUAGCGGUGAAAUGCGCAGAUAUCAGGAGGAACACCGGUGGCGAAGGCGGAUCUCUGGGCCAUUACUGACGCUGAGGAGCGAAAGCGUGGGGAGCGAACAGG